AGUGAACGCUGGCGGUAGGCCUAACACAUGCAAGUCGAACGGCAGCACAGUAAGAGCUUGCUCCUACGGGUGGCGAGUGGCGGGCGGGUGAGGAAUACAUCGGAAUCUACUUUUUCGUGGGGGAUAACGUAGGGCAACUUACGCUAAUACCGCAUACGACCUACGGGUGAAAGCAGUAGAUCUUCGCACCUUGCGCGACUGAAUGAGCCGAUGUCGGAUUAGCUAGUUGGCGGGGUAAAGGCCCACCAAGGCAACGAUCCGUAGCUGAUCUGAGAGGAUGAUCGGCCACACUGGAACUGAGACACGGUCCAGACUCCUACGGGAGGCAGCAGUAGGGAAUCUUGCGCAAUGGGCGAAAGCCUGAUGCAGCCACGCCGCGUGGGUGAAGAAGGUCUUCGGGUCGUAAAGCCCUUUUAUUAGGAAAGAACAGCAGCAGAUGAAUCCCUCGCUGUUCUGACGGUACCUAAAGAGAAAGCCCCGGCUAACUUCGUG
rnacentral:rRNA from 1 species